CCAGAGUGGACACGACGUCAGGCCAGGUGGUUGAGUGUGUGUUGACCAGAGUGGACACGACGUCAGGCCAGGUGGUUGAGUGUGUGUUGACCAGAGUGGACACGACGUCAGGCCAGGUGGUUGAGUGUGUGUUGACCAGAGUGGACACGACGUCAGGCCAGGUGGUUGAGUGUGUGUUGACCAGAGUGGACACGACGUCAGGCCAGGUGGUUGAGUGUGUGUUGACCAGAGUGGACACGACGUCAGGCCAGGUGGUUGAGUGUGUGUUGACCAGAGUGGACACGACGUCAGGCCAGGUGGUUGAGUGUGUGUUGACCAGAGUGGACACGACGUCAGGCCAGGUGGUUGAGUGUGUGUUGACCAGAGUGGACACGACGUCAGGCCAGGUGGUUGAGUGUGUGUGUUUAUUGUAUUCUUUUUUUCUUUUUUUUAACCUUUAUUUUACUGGGCAAGUCAGUUAAGAACAAAUUCUUGUUUUCAAUGACAGACUAGGAACAGUGGGUUAACUGCCUUGUUCAGGGGCAGAAUGACAGAUUUUCACCUUGUCAGCUCGGGGAUUUGAUCUUGCAAACUUUCGGUUACUAGUCCAACGGUCUAACCACAAGGAUACCUGCCGCCCGUGUGUGUGUAUGUGUGUGUGUGUG